rnacentral:rRNA from 1 species
GUGGGGAAUAUUGGGCAAUGGGGGCAACCCUGACCCAGCGACGCCGCGUGAGGGAAGACGGCCUUCGGGUUGUAAACCUCUUUUGUACGGGAAGAAGGAAGUGACGGUACUGUACGAAUAAGUCCCGGCUAACUACGUGCCAGCAGCCGCGGUAAUACGUAGGGGACGAGCGUUGUCCGGAAUUACUGGGCGUAAAGGGCGCGCAGGCUGUGCUGCAAGUCAGCUGUGAAAUGUCUGGGCUUAACCCGGGCAUGCGGUUGAGACUGCAGUGCUGGAGUGCUGUAGAGGCAAGUGGAAUUCCCAGUGUAGCGGUGAAAUGCGUAGAUAUUGGGAAGAACACCGGUGGCGAAGGCGGCCACCUGGACAGGUACUGACGCUGAGGCGCGAAAGCGUGGGGAGCAAACAGGAUUAGAAACCCCUGUAGUCC